rnacentral:rRNA from 1 species
GUACCCGCUGAACUUAAGCAUAUCAAUAAGCGGAGGAAAAGAAACCAACAGGGAUUGCCCUAGUAACGGCGAGUGAAGCGGCAACAGCUCAAAUUUGAAAUCUGGCGUCUUUGGCGUCCGAGUUGUAAUUUGCAGAGGGCGCUUUGGCAUUGGCAGCGGUCCAAGUUCCUUGGAACAGGACGUCACAGAGGGUGAGAAUCCCGUACGUGGUCGCUAGCCUUUACCGUGUAAAGCCCCUUCGACGAGUCGAGUUGUUUGGGAAUGCAGCUCUAAAUGGGAGGUAAAUUUCUUCUAAAGCUAAAUACUGGCCAGAGACCGAUAGCGCACAAGUAGAGUGAUCGAAAGAUGAAAAGCACUUUGGAAAGAGAGUUAAAAAGCACGUGAAAUUGUUGAAAGGGAAGCGCUUGCAGCCAGACUUGCCUGUAGUUGCUCAUCCAGGUUUCUACCUGGUGCACUCUUCUAUAGGCAGGCCAGCAUCAGUUUGGGCGGUUGGAUAAAGGUCUCUGUCAUGUACCUCUCUUCGGGGAGAACUUAUAGGGGAGACGACAUGCAACCAGCCUGGACUGAGGUCCGCGCAUCUGCUAGGAUGCUGGCGUAAUGGCUGUAAGCGGCCCGUCUUGAAACACGGACCAAGGAGUCUAACAUCUAUGCGAGUGUUUGGGUGUCAAGCCCGAGCGCGUAAUGAAAGUGAACGGAGGUGGGAACCUUUCGGGGUGCACCAUCGACCGAUCCUGAUGUCUUCGGAUGGAUUUGAGUAAGAGCAUAGCUGUUGGGACCCGAAAGAUGGUGAACUAUGCUUGAAUAGGGUGAAGCCAGAGGAAACUCUGGUGGAGGCUCGCAGCGGUUCUGACGUGCAAAUCGAUCGUCAAUUUGGGCAUAGGGGCGAAAGACUAAUCGAACUAUCU